UGCCCAUCAGAAAUACACAGUAUGUGCACCAGAUCUGGGUGCUUAGGACUUCGGAGACUGUAUAACAAAAAUGACUUCAGGAGAUAGAGACACUGGAGACAGUGGUUGAAAAACACGGUCUUUGACAGAAGUGACUUGUUUAAUCCAGCUGUCCCACUUACUUAUGUGACUCUGGGGUAAUUUAACUUCUCUAUCCCCAGUUUCCUGUUAUAAAAUGGGGAUAACAUUGAUGGGUCAUUUAAUUACAUAAGAAAAUGUGGAGUCCCGUCUGUGGCGCAACAGGAUUGGCAGCAUCUCUGCAGCGUCAGGAAGCAGGUUUGGUCCCCAGCCAGGCACAGUGGGUUAAAGGAUCUGGCAAUGCCACAACUGUGGUAUAAGUCGCACCUCUGGCUCAGAUCUGAUCCCUGGCCCAUGAACUCCAUAUGCUGUGGGUCAGCCAAAAAAGAUAAAGAAAAAAAAAAAAAGAGAAAAUGUAUGCGAAACUCUCAGCAUGGUGCUUGAGCCAUAGCAAAUGCCAAGUAAGUUAUAACUGGUAUUAUUACCUUUAUUAACAGCUAACAUUUAUGUGAUACUGAUGACCUAUAGAGCUCUUUAACCUGUUCUUUCUCAUUUGUGAAUCUCGGUACUUUGUACAGAACAGAUUUUGAAAUGUUCCUUGGACUUUGUAUUCAUUUUCAUAAGAGAGUUCCUUUUAUCUGUGUAGCUGUGUACACUCAGUUGGCAUUUGUCAUAUGCCUUCAUGCCAGUUGUCUCCUUAUCUAAAUUAACCUCUAAAACCCUUUGAGUACAAAGGUUGUGUCUUAUUCAGCUGGGUUGUCUCUCUACACAGCACUGGGACACAGGGUCUGGACCAAUCAGGAAUAGAGCCAUAGCGCUACAAUUUAUUAUCUAAGUGAACUUAGUCAUUCUCUGCCUUCCCAGGAUGCAUCAUUUACUCAUUCUCAUCUGUAAGACAGGUAGCAAAUUUCUAGUGAGGAUUUAGUGAUGUGUUAAGAAGCACUUCACAUAGCAAAUUACAAAUGUCUUUUCCCCCAUACCUCACUGUGCUUAGCUCAGUAGUUGGUGCUUAGAAAGUAUAUGUUCACUGGGGGUUGGAGGCUGAUGGGAAGACUGUGGACCCAAUUCCUAACUUUAGUAUCAAGAUGUGUUCAUUUCAAGACUGAAAACUGUAGCAUUCCCUGAUGUUUCAGCAGGUUAAAGAUACGGUGUGGUCACUGCGAGUUUGAUCCCUGACAUACCUUGGGCGCAGCCAAGGAACUUCUGCAUACCUUGGGUACAGCCCAAAAAAAGUGGGGGGAAGGCUUUUCUUUGGGAUCUGGUCACCAUGAAGGAUGUUAUGGUAGCUCAUUUAAUAUCCUGGUAGUUUGCCUUUGAAGUGUUUGCUUUUUGCUGUUGUAAAGGUGGGGCAUAGGUAUACAUAGGUGCUCAGAGCAGGUUCAGUUCUGUAUCUACGUUGAGAGUAAACUUAAUCUAUAGUGAGCAAAUGCUGAUUUUGGAGUAUGAGGGCUCUGUAUUCAUUUCCGUAUUGAAUAAAAAGUAAAGUCAUGUAUAGAGAAAAAAAGCAAAAGUAUUUAAUUACAAAAUCCCUUUGUUCAUUUUGGGAAGUGGUACCUUUGUUAAUCUCCUAAGAGACACAUUAUUAUAUUCUGUUAGUAUCAUUAAAUAGUCCAAGAAAGCAUGAUGCAUCAAUUUUAAAUGUAUUUUUGUAUUUUUCCUGGCACAGUUUUUAUUAAGCUUUGUGUAAGGAAGAGGAUGUUGUUUCUUAUGUAGAGGGGAAGUGCCUAGUAGACAGAGAAAGGUGAAGAGUGCUAUUUCCUUGAAUAUAGAUUGGGGUUUAGUUUCCACUUAAGGAUGUCUCUGAGAAGAACAGAGCCAGUUCUGCUUAGCAGCUUGGUUUCUGCUAUUUAUGGAGUGGCGGAUGUGUUUUCAUCUAGGCUGUUCCAUCAGGUACUUUCUGUACUCUUGGGAUGUGGGGAGUUGGCUUUGGCUCAGGUGAGGUGCACAGGUUCUAUGUCCCUUCUCUCCUACGAUGGUAGCGAUGACGGGCUGCUUUUAAGGUAAUCACUGCUGGGGGCUAGAGCACAGGAACCUUAGUCAGUGGGGUGGCAAAUUUGCUGAAAGAGAAGACAGGAAUCUUUUUAUUAAGCUGUAGUGUAGUCCCUAUGUGAUUCCCUCUUUGGUGGCCUUUUAAGUACAGGAGAAAUUUGCAUGAGGAACUUAGUAUCCAAGAGCCUUUGAUUUUAUGAAGUCUGAAAAAGUAAUGACCAGUUUUAAUACAGUGGUAAUAUUCCAUGCAUGUCCCCUCAAUCCACUUGGUAGAGAGAGGUUUGAAUGUGGUGACUCUAGUGAAACCUUUCCUGAGAAGGGAGAAGUCAAUGCUACAUGUAGCCUGGU
rnacentral:lncRNA from 1 species